rnacentral:snoRNA from 1 species
UGCAGCUGCGUCAAAUUCGGCCCUCAGCCAGCCCGUGCUGGGGACCGGCCAAACAGCUGCCACAGCAAGGUCUGCAGCUCCUGAGCCUCACUGUCCACCCCCCUGGCCCCUG